rnacentral:rRNA from 1 species
GUAGUAAUUCUAGAGCUAAUACAUGCCAACAUGCCCUGACCCGGGAACGGGAACGGGUGGUUUUAUUAGAACAGAACCAACCGGUUGUGGUUCGCGCCACAGCUGUUGCACUCUGUGAUGACUCUGGAUAACUUCACUGAUCGCAGUCGGCCUUGUGUCGGCGACGGAUCUUUCAAAUGUCUGCCCUAUCAAUUUUCGAUGGUAGGUGACCUGCCUACCAUGGUGAUAACGGGUAACGGGGAAUCAGGGUUCGAUUCCGGAGAGGGAGCCUGAGAAACGGCUACCACUUCCAAGGAAGGCAGCAGGCGCGCAAAUUACCCAAUCCCGGCACGGGGAGGUAGUGACGAAAAAUACGGAUACGGGACUCAUCAGAGGCUCCGUAAUUCGAAUGAGUACACUUUAAAUCCUUUAACGAGGAUCAACUGGAGGGCAAGUCUGGUGCCAGCAGCCGCGGUAACUCCAGCUCCAGAAGCGUAUAUUAAAGUUGUUGCAGAUAAAAAGCUCGUAGUUGGAUCUGGGUCGCAUGGCUA